AACAAACGCUGGCGGCGUGCCUAAUACAUGCAAGUCGAACGGGGAAAGCCUUCGGGUGAGUACUAGUGGCGCACGGGUGUGGAACGCGUGGAUAAUCUGCCUUGGAGUGGGGGAUAACUAGUCGAAAGAUUAGCUAAUACCGCAUAAGACCACAGGAGCUGCGGCUCUAGGGGUCAAAGGUUUUUCGUUCCAAGAUGAGUCCGCGUAAGAUUAGCUAGUUGGUGAGGUAAUGGCUCACCAAGGCGACGAUCUUUAACUGGUCUGAGAGGAUGAUCAGUCACACUGGAACUGAGACACGGUCCAGACUCCUACGGGAGGCAGCAGUAGGGAAUAUUGCACAAUGGGGGAAACCCUGAUGCAGCGACGCCGCGUGAGUGAUGAAGGCCUUCGGGUCGUAAAGCUCUGUCGCAGGGGAAUAACAAAAUGAAGGUACCCUGUAAGAAAGGAUCGGCUAACUUCGUGCCAGCAGCCGCCGUAAAAC
rnacentral:rRNA from 1 species